rnacentral:rRNA from 1 species
GAUGAACGCUGGCGGCAUGCCUAAUACAUGCAAGUCGAGCGAACAGACCAGGAGCUUGCUCCUCUGACGUUAUCGGCGGACGGGUGAUUAACACAUGGAUAACCUAACUAUAAGACUGGGAUAACUUCAGGAAACCGGAGCUAAUGCCGGAUAAUAUAUUGAACCUCAUGGUUCAAUAGUGAAAGACGGUUUUGCUUUCACUUAUUGAUGGAUCCGCGCCGCCUUAGCUAGUUGGUAAGGUAACGGCUUACCAAGGCGACGAUGCGUAACCGACCUGAAAGCGACAUUCGGCAGACGGGAUCUGAGGAACGGCACCGACACCUAGAGGGAGCAGCGGUAGGGACUCCUCCGCGAUGCAGGAAAGCCUGAUGGAGCACCGUCGCGUGAGUGAUGAAGGUCUUCGGCCGGUAGAACUAUGAAAGUAUGGAAGAAGAAAUGUGUUUGUACCUAUGACCGUAUUGACGGUACCCAGAGAGAAAGCCCCGGCUAACUACGUG